GAUGAACGCUGGCGGCGUGCCUAAUACAUGCAAGUCGAGCGAACGUACGAGAAGCUUGCUUCUCUGAUGUUAGCGUCGGACGGGUUAGUAACACGUGGAUAACCUACCUAUAAGACUGGGAUAACUUCGGGAAACCGUAGCUAAUACCGGAUAAUAUUUUGAACCGCAUGGUUCAAUAGUGAAAGCCGGUCUUGCUGUCACUUAUAGAUGGAUCCGCUCUGCAUUAGCUAGUUGGUAAGGUAACGGCUUACCAAGGCAACGAUGCAUAGCCGACCUGAGAGGGUGAUCGGCCACACUGGAACUGAGACAAGGUCCAGACUCCUACGGGAGGCAGCAGUAGGGAAUCUUCCGCAAUGGGCGAAAGCCUGACGGAGCAACGCCGCGUGAGUGAUGAAGGUCUUCGGAUCGUAAAACUCUGUUAUUAGGGAAGAACAAAUGUGUAAGUAACUGUGCACAUCUUGACGGUACCUAAUCAGAAAGCCACGGCUAACUACGUG
rnacentral:rRNA from 1 species